rnacentral:rRNA from 1 species
GUACACUCCUGCGGGAGGCAGCAGUGAGGAAUAUUGGACAAUGGGUGGAAGCCUGAUCCAGCCAUCCCGCGUGCAGGAAGACGGCCCUAUGGGUUGUAAACUGCUUUUAUCUGGGGAUAAACCUACUUACGCGUAAGUAGCUGAAGGUACCAGAAGAAUAAGCACCGGCUAACUCCGUGCCAGCAGCCGCGGUAAUACGGAGGGUGCAAGCGUUAUCCGGAUUUAUUGGGUUUAAAGGGUCCGUAGGCGGACUGAUAAGUCAGUGGUGAAAUCCGACAGCUUAACUGUCGAACUGCCAUUGAUACUGUUAGUCUUGAGUAAGGUUGAAGUGGCUGGAAUAAGUAGUGUAGCGGUGAAAUGCAUAGAUAUUACUUAGAACACCAAUUGCGAAGGCAGGUCACUAAGUCUUAACUGACGCUGAUGGACGAAAGCGUGGGGAGCGAACAGGAUUAGAAACCCGAGUAGUCCC